GAUGAAUGCUGGCGGUGUGCCUAACACAUGCAAGUCGAGCGGCAGCGCGUCUAGUUUACUAGAUGGCGGCGAGCGGCGGACGGCUGAGUAACGCGUGGGAACGUGCCCCAAAGUGAGGAAUAACUGCCCGAAAGGGUAGCUAAUGCCGCAUAUGAUCUUCGGAUUUAAGUCUUCGGACGCUUUGGGAGCGGCCCGCGUCGGAUUAGGUUGUUGGUGAGGUAAUGGCUCACCAAGCCGACGAUCCGUAGCUGGUCUGAGAGGAUGAUCAGCCAGACUGGAACUGAGACACGGUCCAGACUCCUACGGGAGGCAGCAGUGAGGAAUCUUCCACAAUGGGGGCAACCCUGAUGGAGCAACGCCGCGUGAAGGAUGAAGGCCCUCGGGUUGUAAACUUCUUUUAUGAGUGAAGAAUAUGACGGUAACUCAUGAAUAAGCACCGGCUAACUACGUGCCAGCAGCCGCCGUAA
rnacentral:rRNA from 1 species